GACGAACGCUGGCGGCGUGCUUAACACAUGCAAGUCGAACGAUGAAGCCCAGCUUGCUGGGUGGAUUAGUGGCGAACGGGUGAGUAACACGUGGGCAACCUGCCCCAAACUCUGGGAUAACUCCUCGAAAGAGGUGCUAAUACCGGAUACGAACUAGACAGACAUCUGUACUAGUUGGAAAGUUUUUCGGUUUGGGAUGGGCCCGCGGCCUAUCAGCUUGUUGGUCAGGUAACGGCUCACCAAGGCUACGACGGGUAACCGGCCUGAGAGGGCGACCGGUCACACUGGGACUGAGACACGGCCCAGACUCCUACGGGAGGCAGCAGUGGGGAAUAUUGCGCAAUGGGCGAAAGCCUGACGCAGCGACGCCGCGUGAGGGAUGAAGGUCUUCGGAUCGUAAACCUCUUUCAGUAGGGACGAAGCGAAAGUGACGGUACCUAAAGAAGAAGCACCGGCUAACUACGUGCCAGCAGCCGCCGUA
rnacentral:rRNA from 1 species